ACCCCCUUUGGCAGUUCUGUCUUGGAGGAAAAUGUAUACACAUACAUAAAGGCAUUUUUCAGCUAUGAUUUUACCACUCAGAAUCCAGAAUGGAUAUGACAAUGGGGCCAGCACAGGACCUAAUACACCCUUACAACAAUCUACUUUUUGAUCUUCUUGACUUCUUAUCUGGUAAACUGCUACUGUGUGUCAAGAAAAGAGCCCCAUUAGGGGUUAGUGUACUCCAGUAAAAAAGGGCUGGUUUAGAUUAGACACUAUUGCCCUGUGUCCCCGUUCAUAGGGGCAUGAGAGACUAGUCACUGGUAGAAUUGAGUUGGCACUUUAUUGGCCCAAACACCCACAGACCCACAAGGUUGAGGUUACUCAUGGACAGUAAUUAGUACAUUUUCUUUUUUGCAUUGACGCAUUGUGUCUUCUAACUGUCCAAGAAUAGGAUCCAAAGUGUUAGGAAAUAUUUGUUCCCAUAAAUACAAAGGAGGAUGUCUUUCCUCAUACCUCUGGCACUUUAGUCAGACUGCCAGACUGUGCAGCACAGAGCCAAUCAGGAGAGAAUACAUACAGGUCAACGGUGCCAAUUGAAAGUCAAGGGGUGUGUCUGUGCCUUUUGGAUUACUCUCUCUUUACAGAGAACCCCUGUGGUUCAAGUCAAGAGCUACCCUUCCCAUUUCAGUCUGCUCUGCGCAUGUCUGAAAGUGACAGAGCCAGCAGCCAAGAGAGUUUUUCCCAGGUCAACCAAAAACACUUGGCCUGAUGGUUCAUGCAGAUACUGGGGAAGCAAUAUAGAAAUGUAUUGAUCCCUUAAAUGAUUUUACUAUUAAAUGACCCAUAUCACAACGCUCAUACCUCUUCACAAAAUGUACCUAAAUCAAUUUUGGAAAAAGGAUUUUACUCACGAAAGACGUAGGAAUGUAUUUUUCAGUUAGAAAUAACUAUUUUCAUCAGAAAAACGAACCCUCAAAUGCACUAUUGCAUUUUGUAAGUUGUCUGCAGGUGGCUUGUUGUGAAUGCACUCAAAUAUCAAGUCAUUAUAAGGUUAUGGAAACUGUUCUAAUACUCAACGUAUAAGGAUUUGUCUUAAUGUACAGUAUAUGAAAGUGAUGCUAUGAAAAGGAUUCUUUCACCUUAUCAAGCUCACUGUGACUGACAAAUCACUGCCUAUUACUGUGAUUAAAAAGAG
rnacentral:lncRNA from 1 species